rnacentral:rRNA from 1 species
GGGGAGGCAGCAGUGGGGAAUUUUGGACAAUGGGGGAAACCCUGAUCCAGCAAUGCCGCGUGAGGGAAGAAGGCCUUCGGAUUGUAAAGCUCUUUUGUCAGGGACGAAGCGAAAGUGACGGUACCUGCAGAAGAAGCACCGGCUAACUAUGUGCCAGCAGCCGCGG